rnacentral:misc_RNA from 1 species
CAUCAAUGCAACCUGCCCUCUCUGCAAGUUCAACAUUCUAAAGGCAAGCAACCAAAUUUGUAGUGAAGAAGUAUAGAAACCAGGUUGUCGACAAGAGUUCCGGACAGAACUUCUUGCCUAGCUGUGUUAUCAUGUGCACAUGACCAUCUUGCUAGCAGUGGACCGUAUUCACUGGAGACAGAAUCUAGCCUGUGCCAAUCUCAAGAUUUAUCAUUACAAUGUGUAAUUAUCUGUAACUUUUCUCGGUCUCUCUGCCUAAUGUAUAUGAUAUUUUUACUGUUAAUUAUUAGAGAAACAGAUUUAAUGAGUAGUUGGUACUUGUUAGUGAAGGGUUUCGUUUGUAAAUUAAAAAAAAAAAA